UACGAAGGGGGCUAGCGUUGCUCGGAAUCACUGGGCGUAAAGCGCACGUAGGCGGAUUGUUAAGUCAGGGGUGAAAUCCUGGAGCUCAACUCCAGAACUGCCUUUGAUACUGGCGAUCUUGAGUCCGGGAGAGGUGAGUGGAACUGCGAGUGUAGAGGUGAAAUUCGUAGAUAUUCGCAAGAACACCAGUGGCGAAGGCGGCCAACUGGUCCGGUACUGACGCUGAGGUGCGAAAGCGUGGGGAGCAAACAGG
rnacentral:rRNA from 1 species